ensembl:lncRNA
AUUGUCCACAGCACAAAUGGUGCAGGAUAUAUAUAUAUACAAAUACAUUUAAUAUUAUAUAUAGUCCUACAGAUCAUCUUAAGGUAACAAACUGCUCGGAGCACAGACACAGUCCACCUAACAGAGUCACAGAUGGAGAUUCAAGCAGAAAAUCACCUUCUCAUGACCUGGAGCAUCUGAGACCAGUUGAGCACACAGAAAACCUUUUAGAUGCCCUCAGACAGGUUCCUGACAGACGGUGUGUGACGGCACCAUGUGGAGAUCGAUCACGAUCCUACAUACAUCUGAAGUCCACAAUCAACAUGAGUUACACAAAACAACUCAUGCAAAAUCCUCAUAUUACGGAGGCACAGACAGAGAAGCCAAUUAAAUUCAGUCCAGAGUUCUGCCUCCUCUCGUCCGUCUCAGAGGAACUGCAGGAUCUGGAACCACAAACAUUCCAGAUCAUCGAGGAGGAAGUGACAUCACUCGAUCCGUCCCGAUCAAGAACCAUCCAUCAGUCAGAACUCACAUGUCUCUUCCUCAGACUGCAGCUCCCUCUGAAGCUCACUACAUUGGCCUGUAUGUUCCAAUCCUUCAGCAAUACCACCGACCUGGAGAAGGUACUGGAGAUCACUUAUCAAGCAGAACCUCUGGGAAUCACAGCAAAUAAUAUUAUUUGAGUCAUUAUUCAAUUUCGGUUGCAUAUGCAUUCAGCAAAAAUGAAACCCAAUGAUUAAAUCAGAAAUCUUAACUUGAAUGCUGAAUUAAUUGUUCUCAUUUCAUAUACAAGUUUCAUAUUACACUACACACCAAUGUCUGUUUUUCAUUAUUAACCUGUUUGUUUGUUUGUCAUAGAGACAUUAGUUGUAUGGGGCAUGGCUGUAGAAAGCGCAUGAAAAAGGAGUAAACAUUUAUGGUCUUUAAUUCCAACUUCAACAUAAAGAACAGGGGCCCGUUUCAGUAAGGAGGUUCAACCGACUCCGAGUUGAAACUUGAACUCUGAGUUGACUUACUCUGAGAUGGGAAACUGAGUUUUCGGGUUCAGAACAGCUGAAUUGUGUAAGUUCAGUCAACUCUGACUAGGUUGACUGAGUUUAGCACGUGCACAACGACUAUGAAAAGCCAUGAUCAAUGGAGCUCUGAAAUGAUGAUUCACCAUGGCAACAGCUCCCGCCAAAAACCCGUCUGCAUACUUCAGACUUAAUACAAGUUUAAUUCUUAUCACUGUUAUAAUAUCACAGGUGAAAACUGGCAGAACGGUAGGUUAUUGAACUAACAGGCUAUUCAUUUUCAUGGUAUCUCACAGGCAAAAAAAUAAAAUAAUAAUAAUUGAAGUGCUUUUUUCUUAU